rnacentral:tRNA from 1 species
GCGCUCGAAGCUCAUCAGGAUGAGCAUCCGGCUUUUACCCGGAGGGCAGUUGGUUCGAUUCCAACCGGGCGCACCA